UGAGGAAUAUUGGACAAUGGGCGAAAGCCUGAUCCAGCCAUGCCGCGUGAGUGAAGAAGGCCUUAGGGUUGUAAAACUCUUUUAGCAGGGAAGAUAAUGACGGUACCUGCAGAAAAAGCUCCGGCUAACUCCGUGCCAGCAGCCGCGGUAAUACGGAGGGAGCUAGCGUUGUUCGGAAUUACUGGGCGUAAAGCGCGCGCAGGCGGCUUGUCAAGUCAGGUGUGAAAUCCCAGGGCUUAACCCUGGAACUGCACUUGAAACUGGCUCGCUAGAGAAUGGUAGAGGAUAGUGGAAUUCCCAGUGUAGAGGUGAAAUUCGUAGAUAUUAGGAAGAACACCGGUGGCGAAGGCGACAUACUGGCUCAUUACUGACGCUGAGGCGCGAAAGCGUGGGGAGCAAACAGGAUUAGAUACCCCCGUAGUCCCUGAGCGGGCUGGCAAGGCGCAU
rnacentral:rRNA from 1 species